UGCAAGUCGAACGGUAACAUAGAUUGCUUGCAAUCUGAUGACGAGUGGCGCACGGGUGCGUAACGCGUAUGCAAUCUACCUUUUACAGGAGAAUAGCCCAGAGAAAUUUGGAAUAAUGCUCCAUAAUAUCAUGUAUCAGCAUUGAUUUAUGAUUAAAGCUCCGGCGGUAAAAGAUGAGCAUGCGUUCUAUUAGCUAGUAGGUGAGGUAACGGCUCACCUAGGCUACGAUAGAUAGGGGCCCUGAGAGGGGGAUCCCCCACACUGGUACUGAGACACGGACCAGACUCCUACGGGAGGCAGCAGUGAGGAAUAUUGGACAAUGGAGGAAACUCUGAUCCAGCCAUGCCGCGUGCAGGAUGACUGCCCUAUGGGUUGUAAACUGCUUUUAUAUAGGAAGAAACACUCCCACGUGUGGGGGCUUGACGGUACUAUAUGAAUAAGGAUCGGCUAACUCCGUGCCAGCAGCCGCGGUAAUACGGAGGACCCAAGCGUUAUCCGGAAUCAUUGGGUUUAAAGGGUCCGCAGGCGGCCUGUUAAGUCAGAGGUGAAAUCCUACAGCUCAACUGUAGAACUGCCUUUGAUACUGAUAGGCUUGAGUUAUUGUGAAGUGGUUAGAAUGUGUGGUGUAGCGGUGAAAUGCUUAGAUAUCACACAGAAUACCCAUUGCGAAGGCAGAUCACUAACAAUAUACUGACGCUCAUGGACGAAAGCGUGGGGAGCGAACAGGAUUAGAUACCCUGGUAGUCCACGCCGUAAACGA
rnacentral:rRNA from 1 species